rnacentral:rRNA from 1 species
CAUGCAAGUCGUACGAGAGUUUUUAACUCUAGUGGCGGACGGGUGAGUAACACGUAAGAAUUUACCUUUAGGAGGGGGAUAACAACUGGAAACGGCUGCUAAUACCCCAUAUGCUUUUCGAGUGAAAUGGAUUUCCGCCUAAAGAGAAGCUUGCGGCUGAUUAGCUUGUUGGUGAGGUAAUGGCUUACCAAGGCGACGAUCAGUAUCUGGUUUGAGAGGACGAUCAGACACACUGGAACUGAGACACGGUCCAGACUCCUACGGGAGGCAGCAGUGGGGAAUCUUCCGCAAUGGGCGAAAGCCUGACGGAGCAAUACCGCGUGAGGGAUGACGGCCUAUGGGUUGUAAACCUCUUUUUUCAGGGAGGAACAAAAUGACGUGUACCUGAAGAAUAAGCAUCGGCUAACUCCGUGCCAGCAGCCGCGGUAAGACGGAGGAUGCAAGUGUUAUCCGGAAUCACUGGGCGUAAAGCGUCUGUAGGUGGUUUAAUAAGUCAACUGUUAAAUAUUGAGGCUCAACCUCGAAAUCGCAGUUGAAACUAUUAGACUGGAGUAUAGUAGGGGUAAAGGGAAUUUCCAGUGGAGCGGUGAAAUGCGUAGAGAUUGGAAAGAACACCGAUGGCGAAGGCACUUUACUGGGCUAUUACUAACA